rnacentral:rRNA from 1 species
GGCGAACGCUGGCGGCGUGCUUAACACAUGCAAGUCGAACGAUGAAACCUAGCUUGCUAGGUCGAUUAGUGGCGAACGGGUGAGUAACACGUGACUAACCUGCCCCUUUCUCUGGGAUAACGCUCCGAAAGGAGUGCUAAUACCGGAUACUCACAUCGAGGCACAUGCCUUGGGGUGGAAAGUUUUUCGGAAAGGGAUGGAGUCGCGGCCUAUCAGCUUGUUGGUGAGGUAACGGCUCACCAAGGCGACGAAGGGUAGCCGGCCUGGGAGGGCGACCGGCCACACUGGGACUGAGACACGACCCAGACUCCUACGGGAGGCAGCAGUGGGGAAUAUUGCACAAUGGGCGCAAGCCUGAUGCAGCGACGCCGCGUGAGGGAUGAAGGUCUUCGGAUUGUAAACCUCUUUCAGUAGGGACGAAGCGAAAGUGACGGUACCUAAAGAAGAAGCACCGGCUAACUACGUGCCUGCCGCCGCCGUAA